AUUGCAUUCAUGUUUAUUUUUCCGUACUUCAUAUUCAAAAACCCCAAAAUAUUGUUCUUAUAGUCUUGAUUGGUUAAGCAAAAGCACAAUAGUUUAGUGCCAUGAGUCUCUUGGGAAAACGAUACUUGGACUUACCAUUUAUUAUUACUUGAGACGAUCUGGUACACUUGCCAAAGUGUUAACACUCACCAAACAAGGUGUUUCACUCAAUCACUCAAGUGUUCCAAAAGGUUCACUCCUUCCCUCCACUAUCCACAUGUCACAUAGAACAAAAUUGCCUUUCAUUUACCACAAUCAAUCACCAUCACACAUAUAUACCAUCACAAGGACUUUUUCCAAGGCUUAUAAUGUGGUUAGGCGAACAAGAAAAAUUGGUUUUUCUAGAUCACAAAAUCCUUGAGUUAAGAGAGUUAUUCAAACAUUCAUAUUUCAAGCACAAACUCUCUUUUUGCCAAUCUCACUUAUUCCUAACUUCCCUUUUCUUUUGCAUUGAGCUUUUCUUUUCAUGCUAUCUUUUCUAUCUUUUUCAUGCUUUUCAUACUUUACUCAACACAUUAGCUCAAUGCUUAUCUUUCUUUUAAUUUCCCCAACAACCCCAAACUUGAACCUUUAUCAAUACCAC
rnacentral:lncRNA from 1 species